rnacentral:misc_RNA from 1 species
AAAGUCGUAACAAGGUUUCCGUAGGUGAACCUGCGGAAGGAUCAUUAUCAUGUAAUCCAGUCAUGCCGCUGCGUGAGCUGUAUACACCCACCCUGCGUACGCUGUCCUGUUGCUUCCGCCGGGCGUACAUAAUUGUGCAAGCCCGGCGGAAGGGAAAAAAUAACCUCCGAGUUUAACUACGGAAUCUGUCUGAAUGAAUCGGAACAAAGAAACGUUAAAACUUUCAGCAACGGAUCUCUUGGUUCUC